UACAGAGGUCCCAAGCGUUGUUCGGAUUCACUGGGCGUAAAGGGUGCGUAGGCGGUCAGAUAAGUCUGAUGUGAAAUCUUCGAGCUCAACUCGGAAACUGCAUCGGAAACUAUCUGGCUAGAGGAUUGGAGGGGAGACUGGAAUUCUCGGUGUAGCAGUGAAAUGCGUAGAUAUCGAGAGGAACACCAGUGGCGAAGGCGAGUCUCUGGACAAUUCCUGACGCUGAGGCACGAAAGCUAGGGGAGCAAACGGG
rnacentral:rRNA from 1 species